AGUAAAUAGAUACCCUGGUAGUCCACGCCGUAAACGAUGUCGACUUGGAGGUUGUGCCCUUGAGGCGUGGCUUCCGGAGCUAAACGCGUUAAGUCGACCGCCUGGGGAUACGGCGCAAGGUUAAACUACAAUAGAAUUGACGGGGGCCCGCACAAGCGGUGGAGCAUGUGGUUUAAUUCGAUGCAACGCGAAGAACCUUACCUACUCUUGACAUCCAGAGAACUUAGCAGAGAUGCUUUGGUGCCUUCGGGAACUCUGAGACAGGUGCUGCAUGGCUGUCGUCAGCUCGUGUUGUGAAAUGUUGGGUUAAGUCCCGCAACGAGCGCAACCCUUAUCCUUGUUGCCAGCGGUUAGGCCGGGAACUCAAAGGAGACUGCCAGUGAUAAACUGGAGGAAGGUGGGGAGUGACGUCAAGUCAUCAU
rnacentral:rRNA from 1 species